UCAGAAACGCAGUACCGUUGUGCUGUAUAGUUCGGACCUAAUUGUUUUACUUUAUUAUGGGCUACGUGAGGGUUACAUUAAAAUACUCAGUUAAUUAGAAGUGAGUGUUAAACGGGUGCGUUGACAAUAUUAGAAACAGCAACAAUUACUUUGAAUAAUAACAGUCCGUUGAGGAACGUCAACAUUUCACCGUUUCCGAUAUACAGUACCAAUAGCGCUUUGCAAUGAGUGUUGUUGGUUGGUUCCAGCUGCAGUUUUCCACCAAACUACAUUUUUAUAAACUACAGUUAAGUGUAGUGAUUGUAGUAUUCAACGCAAAAAAACUGUUACCAAACUGAUCGGAUUAAUAAUCCUGUAUGAUUUUACCGCUUCUUCUCUUGCCAUUAAGAUCCCACCUACACUUAAAAGAAGCAGUUUUAAUUUCAAAGCUAAAAUGCCAAAGGUUGUCUGAGUGCAAAUUUUCGUACUUUGCACGGAAAAUAAGUAUAUUAUAUAGCGAAUACGGGACUUCAGAAGGAGAAAUGGAUAACUCACUCCUUAUUAUAUUUCAAGUUGCGAUGUGGCCUAUGUUUCCAGCUCUUUUCACUGUGGAUAUGACUGAGUCUUCCUUUCUGGCUGAGUUUAGGGGGAACGUCACUAUGGAGUGUCGAUUCCCUACAGGGGGUGGCGAGACCCUGUCCAGCCUCAGAGUCUACUGGCACCGCAUCCUGCCUGAGCCUCUCCUGGAAGUGUACAAGCUGGAGAGCGGAAAGGAGGACCUGAGCACCCAGCACCCCAGGUAUAAAGGCAGAGUGAACCUGCAGAAGGACAGGCUGAAGCAGGGCCAGGCUGUCCUACAGAUGUCCAAUCUCACCAUCUCUGACUCUGGGAAGUACAGGUGCAUUGUUGAACAGGGAGGAGCUGACUAUAAAGAGGCCACCCUCAAUGUGAGAGCUGCCUAUACACCUAUAAAAACAGACAUACGUCGAACCCCAGAUGAUGAGAAGGUGGAACUGACCUGCGAGUCAGAAGGCUACCCCUUGGCCAAGGUGAUCUGGUCAGAUGCAAGUGGUCUGAACCUCACCUCAAAUGCCAAUGAAAGCAUAUUCUUGCUCCCUGAUCAACGGUACCACAUAAAGAGCUGUGUCAUUGUAAACAAUACCGUAAAUAACACGUACACCUGCACUUUCUGGAACGAGAGUAUGAUUAACUACGCAACGAAUCUUACUAUUCCAGAUGAUAUGAAGAAAACUGAAGAACAAUCCCCAGCAGGGAGAAAGUCUUCAACUAUAGUUUGGGCAAUAAUGGUUGUGGCUGCAAUAGUGGUGACUGUGGCUAUCUUGGUAAAUCAAAGGUUUAAAGAUGUAAAGGGACUCAAAAGAAGUAAGAGAAAGGAGGAAGACUUUGAUGCCUUAUCCACUGCCCUCACCAUAAAUAGUGAAGUUCCAACUUCUGUUGUCACCCAUGAAGAAGGGUGACAUGGCUGCUGCAAAACAUGAGUGAGGGGCAUCACAGUUUCUGGACAGGAGAGCUGCAUUAGUUCAUUCACCAGGCCCAGGUCAAUAAGGAAUGAGGAACAGGGAAGGCCUGCUUUACCUGGGCUGGAGGUGUUGACACCUGAAGGAAUGAGACAUUGCUUAGCAAGGAAACAGCAUAUCUUCUCCCCAGCAGCCAAGAGGGAUGUGCCCAGAAAGCAGGCAACCUCAAGGCAUGACAGCCUUACUGCCAAUGUCACAGAAGCUGACGAUAGGAGAACAGUCUCCUUGUGGAGAAACCGUCCUGGUCAAUACCUCGGUUACUACUUGGACACAGGCCAAGAGCUUUGGCGCCUUCAGUCUCCAUUCAUGCAAACCAAUUGCUGCUUCAUUUGGAAGGUGCCAAGGGAGACUCUGUAUGAUGAAAUGGCAUACAGAGAACAGUGAUAUCAGUGCAGCCUGAGGGCAUCUUUGACAGGUCCUGUUGAUGGUGUGUGCAUUCUAGUUGAGUACUGCCAAGAGAAUGCAAAACUACAGGACUCUUUGAAAAUGUUUCAAGGGGACCAUCAGUGUGGAAGGGUUCUAGUCAGAGCUCGCAAUGGAGGAUACAGUAACUUCACAGACUGUUUGGAUUCUGCACUGGAGCUCUGCAGAUAGCAGAUGAGCCACUAGAUUACAAGAGGGAAUGCUGCAAAAUGCCUUAUUAUACAUUUGCAACGGGACUUGUUUCCUGUGUAAGCUGUAGCCAAUGUUGUGUUUUUAUUUUGUUUGCUUUUCAGCACUUUAACUCCAUGAAAACACAUUGAAAAAUGUGUUAGAAAGCACUUUUACCUCAGUUUGGCCUCUAACUCUUGUAUUUAUUAUAUAAUUUAUAAAUGCAAAAAACAGUUGUGUUUUACUGCCGUACACAGUAGAUUAAUCUAAACCAGGCAAUUGUUGCAUUAAACAUAACUACUGCUUUCAAAAAAGAAAGGCCAUAAAUGUCAGUUACCCGACUCUUUAAAUGUAACUAUAAAAGUUAUUUUUUUGCAGAUUUUCAAUAGCUUUUAUUGUUUGUGUAGAUUUAAUAGUAAUUCAUAAGAUUUAAAGCAUAUUUGCUAAUUGUAUUGCCAUCAGGAUCGCUGUUACAAAUCAUUCAGGAAACCAGAAUUUAACAAAGAAUAUCAAGGUCCUUCUUGAAGUUGUUGAUUGUAGUUGAAUUGUUUAACUUCUGUGAUAAGUUCUUAAAAUGUGUUAUUUAUUCUAAAAGGAAUGAAAAAAAACUGUCUCCUGAUUCAGCAAGUGAAGUCAUAAAUGAUUAGGACAAUUAAUUCAGGAUGAUCUGGAAUUUCAUGAAUAAUGAAGUAUUUAAAAAGGAGAAAAUAACAUGCCACUGAUUAAAAGCCAAGCCACUCAGUU